rnacentral:rRNA from 1 species
UACCAGCACCCCGAGUGGUCGGGACGAUUAUUGGGCCUAAAGCAUCCGUAGCCGGCCUUACAAGUCCUCCGUUAAAUCCAGCUGCUUAACAGAUGGGCUGCGGAGGAUACUAUAAGACUAGGAGGCAGGAGAGGCAAGCGGUACUCAGUGGGUAGGGGUAAAAUCCGUUGAUCCAUUGAAGACCACCAGUGGCGAAGGCGGCUUGCCAGAAUGCGCUUGACGGUGAGGGAUGAAAGCUGGGGGAGCAAACCGG